GACAGAGGGUGCGAGCGUUAAUCGGAAUCACUGGGCGUAAAGCGCGUGUAGGCGGCCUUGCAAGUCGGGUGUGAAAUCCCCAGGCUUAACCUGGGAACUGCAUUCGAGACUGCAUUGCUAGAGUAUGGGAGAGGGAAGUGGAAUUUCCGGUGUAGCGGUGAAAUGCGUAGAUAUCGGAAGGAACAUCAGUGGCGAAAGCGGCUUCCUGGACCAAUACUGACGCUCAUGUGCGAAAGCGUGGGGAGCAAACAGG
rnacentral:rRNA from 1 species